UUGCACUUUAGGUUUUUUUUGAAAUCAGAAGAAACAAUUAUGUUUACAUUUAAACUGUGUGGUUAAUGAUUUUAAGAACUUUUUAUGUUGAAAAAUAAAAAAUAGUCGAAAUGUGAAACGAAGGCGUGUUUGUGUGUGCGUGUGCACUGCGAGAGAGAGAGUGAGUGUUGUAGCAACUGAAGGAAAGACCGUUCUGAUCACAGCUGCCAACUGGCACAGCUGUUGAGCCUCAACUGCGCGCUGUAGCCACGAUUUAACGGUAAAUAGCACAAGCAAUACACAACACUUGACUUUGCACUUCGCACGCAACUAACUGUACCGUAAGUGGAAAGCACUAAGUGCCAAAUGCACCUUCGGCUGGCUCAACGCACGCUCAUGUGUGGCUCGGGCGAGUGAGUGCAGCUGCUGCCACAAGUGGCGCAGCGAAGAUCAGCACGCCAGCGCUUUAGCACUCUUAACUCUUUUCGCUUCCGACUUCCGACAUCAACUUUGCCUGCGGACUUCGGCAGUGCGAGUGCUUAACUAAUGACGAAGCUGGUGCUUUGUCGGAAAUGUAAUCGUGCAUUGAAUAUGUUGAUUUAUGGCAGGCAAUUGAGAUCUGGCCAGGCUUUUGGCUUCUUGUCUAAGACGACUCCAAGAAAUUUAACUUUGAACGCUGUGAAUACUGAUGGGUUGAUAGCGGUAAUCUUGUACCUUCUUGUGAUUAGUACGAGUUCCUCUCUAAAAACAACAACAGAAGUAUAGUGCAUUGAGUCGAAUUGUUACUACGAAGCUUGGGUUCAAGAUUGUGAGCCCGCGUCGAAACAGGGCUCCAUAAAAAGGGAACAGAAACUCAGUAAGUACAGUAAGCUGGGAAACUUAUAGCAGCGGUCAUUUGGGACUCGGAAGGAAUGUUAUUGAUCGAAGUAUACUACAUUAAAAUAUUACAGCUACAGAAAGAAAUCUUCAGAGAGAAAAGUCGGGUUGUAGAGAUUGAUGGUUUGGAACGACAAUAAGCCCGUCUACCAGAACCGCGUGGCAUUGCCUGCCAUGAAUAAGAUAGUCUUUGAUAAUUUGAAUCACCCACCCCACAGCCCAGUCCUGGUCCAAAGUGAUUACACUCUGUUUCCAAAAAAAAAAAAGGCUGAGGUGAAAAACAUUUGCUUAAUGUUGAAAUCAAAGAGGGAGUUUCAGCGUAUUUUGAAGAAAGAAGAUGAAACAUUUAUGAGAGUGUUAAUAAAAUAUAUGAUAGCUCUGAAA